rnacentral:rRNA from 1 species
UACGUAGGGUGCGAGCGUUAAUCGGAAUUACUGGGCGUAAAGCGUGCGCAGGCGGUUUUGUAAGCCAGAUGUGAAAUCCCCGGGCUUAACCUGGGAAUGGCAUUUGGGACUGCAAGGCUCGAGUGCGGCAGAGGAGACUGGAAUUCCUGGUGUAGCAGUGAAAUGCGUAGAUAUCAGGAGGAACACCGAUGGCGAAGGCAGGUCUCUGGGACGUAACUGACGCUGAGACGCGAAAGCGUGGGGAGCAAACAGG